UGGGUGGUCUUCGGGAGUGGGCCUGUGGAUCUCAGCAGUCAUGGCCAGCCACCUCGUGCUCUACACCGGUGCCAAGAUGCCCAUCAUGGGGCUGGGCACCUGGAAGUCCCCUCCAGGCAAAGUGACCGAGGCUGUGAAGAUGGCGAUUGACCUUGGGUACCACCACAUCGACUGUGCUCACGUGUACCAGAACAAGAAUGAGGUGGGGUUGGCCAUCCAGGAGAAGCUCAAGGAGCAGGUGGUGAAGCGUGAGGACCUCUUCAUCGUCAGCAAGCUGUGGUGCACAUUCCAUGAGAAGAGCAUGGUGAAGGGAACUUGCCAGAAGACGCUCAGUGACCUGAAGCUGGACUACCUGGACCUCUACCUUAUUCACUGGCCAACCAGCUUCAAGCACGGGAAGGAAUAUUUCCCACUGAAUGGGGAAGGCAAUGUGAUAUCCAGCGACACCAAUUUUGUGGACACGUGGGAGGCCAUGGAAGAGCUGAUGGAUGAAGGGCUGGUGAAAGCUAUUGGAGUCUCCAACUUCAACCAUCUCCAAGUCGAGAAGAUCUUAAACAAACCUGGCUUAAAAUAUAAGCCGGCUGUUAACCAGAUCGAGUGCCACCCGUAUCUCACUCAGGAGAAGUUAAUCCAGUACUGCCAGUCCAAAGGCAUCGUGGUGACUGCCUACAGCCCGCUCGGCUCUCCUGACAGGCCCUGGGCCAAGCCUGAGGACCCUUCCCUGUUGGAGGAUCCCAGGAUCAAAGCUAUCGCAGCCAAGCACAAGAAAACCACGGCGCAGGUUCUGAUCCGGUUCCCCAUGCAGAGGAAUUUGGUCGUGAUCCCCAAGUCCAUGACACCCGAACACAUUGCUGAGAACUUUCAGGUCUUUGACUUUGAACUGAGCAGCGUGGAUAUGACCACCUUACUCAGCUACAACCAGAACUGGUGGGUGUGUGCCUUGGUGAGCUGUGCUUCCCACAAGGACUAUCCCUUCAAUGCUGAGUUUUGAAGCUCUUGGUGCCUCUUCCCCUCCAGGUUGAGUCUACAGAGUUGAAAUAGUGCCACUAACGACUGGAUGUUGGCUGCUGGGAACUUUAACCCUUUCAUCCAGACUUCUUGCCUCAAAUAAAAGUUGUUUUGUG